UACGUAGGGUGCAAGCGUUGUCCGGAAUUAUUGGGCGUAAAGAGCUCGUAGGCGGUCUGUCACGUCGGCUGUGAAAUCCCGAGGCUCAACCUCGGGUCUGCAGUCGAUACGGGCAAACUAGAGUAUUGCAGGGGAGACUGGAAUUCCUGGUGUAGCGGUGAAAUGCGCAGAUAUCAGGAGGAACACCGGUGGCGAAGGCGGGUCUCUGGGCAAUAACUGACGCUGAGGCGCGACAGCGUGGGGAGCGAACAGG
rnacentral:rRNA from 1 species